rnacentral:rRNA from 1 species
GUGGGGAAUUUUGGACAAUGGGGGCAACCCUGAUCCAGCCAUGCCGCGUGUGUGAAGAAGGCCUUCGGGUUGUAAAGCACUUUCGGCCGGAACGAAAUCGCGCGAUCUAAUAAGUCGCGUGGAUGACGGUACCGGAAGAAGAAGCACCGGCUAACUACGUGCCAGCAGCCGCGGUAAUACGUAGGGUGCGAGCGUUAAUCGGAAUUACUGGGCGUAAAGUGUGCGCAGGUGGCCGCGCAAGUCGAGUGUGAAAUCCCCGGGCUUAACUUGGGAAUUGCGCUCGAAACUACGUGGCUGGAGUGUGGCAGAGGAAGGUGGAAUUCCACGUGUAGCGGUGAAAUGCGUAGAGAUGUGGAGGAACACCGAUGGCGAAGGCAGCCUUCUGGGCCAACACUGACACUCAUGCACGAAAGCGUGGGGAGCAAACAGGAUUAGAAACCCGAGUAGUCC